rnacentral:sRNA from 1 species
UGGACACAAAGACGCCCUCGGGGGAUUCCAGCAGAUUGCCAAACUCAGCUUCGUCCGUAAACAUUUUCGUGAUGCCCAGCUGAAAGUGAAAAGGAUCGUGCGGCUGAUACAUGAUCUUGAGUAUGAGCCACUGGCUGCCACCGCAAUACGACGACAGCCCAUUUUGGUUAUCUAAGACAUUUCUACCCUACCGUCGAUAAGCUACUAAAAAUAAUACAUACAUCAAUCGGCGGAAUUUUAGAGAUAAGUGGGCAAUAAAUAUUUUUGUGGGCGGUUUGCAGCACUGCAACGUGUCCAUAAAAUUGAAUUCUG